GAUGAACGCUGGCGGCGUGCCUAAUACAUGCAAGUCGAGCGAACAGACGAGGAGCUUGCUCCUCUGACGUUAGCGGCGGACGGGUGAGUAACACGUGGAUAACCUACCUAUAAGACUGGGAUAACUUCGGGAAACCGGAGCUAAUACCGGAUAAUAUAUUGAACCGCAUGGUUCAAUAGUGAAAGACGGUUUUGCUGUCACUUAUAGAUGGAUCCGCGCUGCAUUAGCUAGUUGGUAAGGUAACGGCUUACCAAGGCAACGAUGCGUAGCCGACCUGAGAGGUGGAUCGGCACCCCGGGAACGGGACACCGGCCCAAACCCCUAGGGGGGGCACAGGGGGGGAUUCUGCCGCAAGGGGGGAAAGCUUGACGGGGCAACCCCGGGGGGGUGAUGAAGGCUUGCGGGUCGUAAAACCUUUUUAUGGGGAAAAAAAAAAUGUGUAAGAAACUGUGCAGGUCUGACCGGUACCAAAUCAGAAAGCCCGGGCAACCUCGGG
rnacentral:rRNA from 1 species